UUGUGGAAAGUGAGAAAAUUACAUACGAUUUCGGCUCGUUUUUUGGUAGUGCAAGUCUGCCUCCACUAG
rnacentral:tRNA from 1 species